rnacentral:rRNA from 1 species
UUAAAGUCUCAAUCUGCCCUAUGNGGAAUUAAAUGGCCGCGGUAUUUUGACCGUGCAAAGGUAGCAUAAUAAUUAGUUUUUUAAUUGGAAGCUGGAAUGAAUGAUUGGACGAGAAAAUAGCUGUCUCAAUUUAAUUUAAUUAGAAUUUUAUUUUUAAGUAAAAAAGCUUAAAUAGUAUUAAAAGACGAGAAGACCCUAUAGAGUUUUAUAGUUAAUUAAUUAUUAAUUUUUUAGAAUUAUUUUAUUAAUAUUUGGUUAAUUAUUUUGUUGGGGCGAUAGAAAAAUAUGAAUAACUUUUUUUAAUAAAAUUAUCAUUGAUUUAUGAUUUUUUGAUCCAUUAUUUAUGAUUAUAAGAUUAAGUUACCUUAGGGAUAACAGCGUUAUUUUUUUUUAGAGUUCUUAUCGAAAAAAAAGAUUGCGACCUCGAUGUUGGAUUAAAAUUAAAACUUGGUGUAGAAGCUUAGUUAUUGGGUCUGUUCGACCCUUAAAAUUUUACA